UUAUUGAAUAUUUCCAUAUGAAGUAUCUAUUAAUGAACUCUCUUUAUUUAAAUGACUGUUCAACGAGGCAAUUGUAACAGCUUUCUGUUAGAAUCGCUUCAUUUUCAAUAAAAACCCUGAGCAUGUACUCCAUGAUAAGUAUCCCAUCAAGUAUCUAGUCCUUGUGUAGAACAGCCAUAUUGACACAUACUUACCCACAAGUACACAACGAACCGGGAUUCGCUGUCGGAACUGUCACGUCCUACCGUGUAAGGUUUUCUCCCUAUGGUAUGCCAACAUAUUUCAGAGAUGGUCUUGAAUUGUUUUGCUAUUGGCAUCAAUCGUCUUAACCCCCACUUCAUCUGGACGUCUUCAUGUCGGCUUUCCUUACCUGUUCUCUCGGACGCCGAGUACCUCGGGGGUUUAUGUUCAUUGGACGCGAUGCUGCCUAGCUAAUGGAGUUCUUACAGAAGAUAUCAGGGUGGAAUGAAGACAGAAGAUGGCUUCCAAGACAAUAAAACCCGACAGAAUUCCCAAUAAAUAACGUUAAUCUGACUCA